UGCGCUUGCAGAUCCCAUUCAUUAGUUAUUUAGAAGAGCAAUUGCAUAUUUCAAUACCGCGUCUCUUAUAUCAUGCUGGGGAUGACAACUUGGCUUAAGUGGUGUGAGGGAUAGGUUUGGCAUUUUUGGCACCGUUACUAGAUUUAGAGAACUUAGUCUACUUUUGGUAAUGAUGUUAAGAAUACCCAACAAGCAUUUUUGGCGCCGUUGCCGGGGAAGGUUGAUUACUAAUCAGGAAUGGAAUAAAAGAUUUUGAGUUAUCAUUCGCAUCACUAAUAUGAUUGAGCUUAUCUAUUCUCUCAUACAGUUUUACCCCGAUAUUUUUCUGUUUUAUCUUAUGCUGGGGAAUGUAUGAAUAGAAGACAUCUUCCAGGAAAUUUUGUUGACAAUCCCAAAGCAUUAUUCAAGAAGACGAGAGCUAAGUUCAAGAAGAGAUCAUCAACACUUCAGCAAGAAGCUUCAUCCAAUCAAGAAGAUCACCGGAACUUGUCUUCAGAGUUCGAGGCCAUGGCGAACAAAUCAAUCCGCGAGUUCUCAGCUCCCACUACGGACAACAUCCGCACUGGACCUGCUGCAGAGAUCGACGGCAACUUUGAGCUCAAGCCUGGACUUAUCAACAUGGUGCAAUCCAACCAGUUCUGUGGGAAGGCACACGAAGAUGCUAGUGCUCAUUUACAACACUUCCUGGAGAUUUGCAACACAUUCACCAUAUCAGGAGUUUCCAAAGAUGCUAUACUACUUCGCCUCUUCCCAUUCUCACUGUUAGGAAGAGCGAAGCAGUGGUUCUACGCUUUAAAGGAGAAGAAUACUACGUGGGCACUCUGCUCAACAAACUUCCUGGCAAAGUUCUCUCCCAUGGGCAAGACCAAUGCUCUCCGUGGGAAGAUUACAAGUUUUCAGCAACAAAAUGAUGAAUCUGUUCCAGAAGCAUGGGAGCGCUUUCAAGACUACAUCCUAGAAUGUCCCCAUCAUGGAAUGGAGAGUUGGCUAUUGAUGCAGACGUUUUAUCAUGGGCUCGGCAACAGUGCCCGAGAGACCAUGGAUGCUGCAGCUAGAGGAGCAUUCUUAUCACUUACUAUACCACAAGCCACAGCUCUUGUGGAGAAGAUGGUGUCUAACCAAAGCUGGAAUGAAGAGAGGACCCAGACACGCAAGAGAGGUGGAGGUAUGCAUCACCUGAAGGAGGUAGACAUGCUAUCUGCAAAGCUAGACCUGCUCAUGAAGAAGCUCGACGAUAGAGUUGGAGAUAAGAAGGAAGUUAUGCACAUCUACGACUCUCACAUGACUUGUGAGGAGUGUGGAGACACUGGACACUCAGGCAACCACUGCCCUGAGAUACUUGAGGAUGUGAACUACAUCAACAACAACAACUACUACUACUACAACCGUCCUCAACAAAAUCAAGGUUGGAAUCAAUAAAGGCCUAACUACUUAGGUAAUUAUCAAGGUAACAAUUCUUACAACAAUAAUAAUAAUUUUCCACCUCUGAGAGAGUUAGUGUCUAAUCAAGGAAAGCUAAUGGAUAAUCUAUCUAAGAAAUUGGCAUCUAAUGAUAAAAUACUAGAAAAUAUAAAUAAUAGAAUGGAUAAUUUCUCUACUGCCAUCAAGAAUUAAAUUAGCUUUAAUAAAAUCAUUGAAUCUCAGUUAAAUCAAAUAGCUGCUGUUGUUCCUACUACUAACCCCGGUAUACCAUCACAACCGGAAGGAUUAGAAUCUGCAAAUCUUGUAGACAUGUUUGAUGCAGGUAAUUGGAGUAACCCCGUCACUGAAUUCUCUACUGACCUUGUGCCAGUCAAGAGAGGCGAUCCAGGACGCCCCGUCAUCCCGAUCUCCAUCGGCAUGGUGGACGUCCCAGAAGCACUCUGCUACUUUGGCUCUAGUGUCAACAUUAUACCCAGGGUACUCUAUGAAAAAUUCUUUACAUAUCCUAGAGACAACCAUGUGUUUGCAGUUUGCAGAUCAGACGAUAACUUUUCCAAAAGGAAUAUUGAGGAACCUUUGUGUCUGAGUUGGUACCUUGUAUGCCCCAGCAGACUUCGUAGUGGUAGAGACCGGAAAUGAUGAGAGAGCACCUAUCAUCUUAGGAAGGCCAUUCUUGAACACCACGGGAGCUAUCAUCUACGCUAGUGCUGCCAAGAUCAGUUUCUACGUCAAAGGGAGGAAGGAGACAUUUUUCUUCAAGAACAAGACUGCACAAAUUCCAGAUCAAUCCAGACGUGAGUCAAGGAAGAGGACCAACAGGAGGAACAGGAACAAGCAAGUGUGGACCGAGUCAGCUAAGAUGGUCACUGUAUUUCAUGGAGGCCAAGAUCACCAACUUAAGUCACCGCUUUUGACCAAGAAGGACGACCUAGGAAUGCCAAGCAUCUACUGCUCCAUAAAUGGAUAUAACUUCUAUAAGGCAACUUGUGACACCGGAUCGGGCGUCAACAUAAUGGCCGCAGUCACCUAUCGGCUCUUGUUCAGAACCAUGCCUCUAAGACCAACAUACAUUCUGCUCCAGAUGGCAGAUCAGACGUUUCGAGAAGUUAAAGGAAUAGUAACUGAUGUCCCAGUCAAAAUAGACGAUCACUUUGUCUACACAGACUUUCAAGUUAUUGACAUGGGAGAAGACGAGUAUGAUCCACCCAUCAUCCUUGGAAGACCGUUCCUCAGCACCGUUAAAGCAAUUAUUUACAUUGGAACCGGAGAAGUCCAUAUGCACUUCCCCUCAGAGAAGGUACGCCGUUAUUUUACUGACCCUAACUAUAUCAUUGAAGAAUCUAAGCAGGUCAGAAAGAGACGCAACCGCAACCAGAGGAGGCAGAUCAUCAAGGACGGAUGGGCAGACUAUGAAGGAGAAGUUGUAAGGUCAGAAGACGUAGAGUUUAAACAGAAUUAUCCAGAAGCACCAAGACAGGUGUGGAAAAUGAAGAUAACUAUACAUGAAGAGGAGGCGCUACCGGAAGUACCGACUACGCCACCCAACGAACCUCAGGACAAUUGAGAAAACGGAGUCCCGUUCGGAGGACUUAAAAACACCGAACGCCUUGCCAAGAGGUAAACUUGGUAGUUAUCCUUUCCCUUUCAAUUAUGUCAAUUAGUUUACUUAGUUAAUCAUGUUCGUGCUAUCCUAAAAAGAAAAAUAAAAAUGUGAAAAACAGUAAGCCCCAUGUGAGUAGACGAGUGGCAUAAAACCCAUAAGUACAUUCACUGUGGUGGCAUAAAAAUAAAAUAAAUAUUUCUUUUCUGCUUUAUAAAAUGAAAAUAUAAAAACAAGAAGUAACAAUUAUUAAGGAGUCUCAACAUGAUAAAGGCUAGAUAUUUAUGCUAACACUUAAUCAGUUCCACAAGCUUUGUCGUCUAUUUGAGCUCCACAGAAUUUAAGAAUCAAGAAGACUAGCAGACGGAGGACAUUCUAAUCGCUGUCAGAAUGCUGCUGACUUUCAAAUACACCUCUGCCACCUGCUAGCUACAUCAAGAGAAAUUACGUCAAAAUUCAGCUUGGGAGAGAGCACCCCCAUUUAUCUCGAUAAGUAUUUUUAUCUAUCUAUCUUUAUGCUUAUACUAUAUUAAAAUAUAAAUAUAACUAUGGAAAACCAAAUAAAGAUUUUGUGCUUAUAUAUAUAUAUAUAUAUAUAUAUAUAUAUCUUUUGCUUAGUGUGUUUAAUAAAUAAAUAAAGUGGCUAUGCUAAUCUGUAUCUAAAUAAAACUUAAGCAUGGAUAUGAUGAAUAGUUGCUCUGCCUAAUUUGCACAUUUUAAGUUCUCUCUCAAGUUUAGACAUAACUGUUAUAAUUUAAAGCUUGCUCUAGACCUAAACUUGUGGGAUGAAAACUUGAUCUGAAGUCUAAGUUGUUAAUGGAUACGAUAUGGGAAGGUUGAGCUGUUGUUUAUCUGUUCCUAGAGAUGCUAGAAUUCUGGAGAAUUUUAUUUUUAAAAAUCUUUAAAAUGUUGCAUGAUGAGUUCCUGUAUGAUGAGAGUUUAAAUUCCUACCACAGCCAUAUAUACAUGCUUAUUAGACUUUGAGCCACACAUUUACUAUUUACUGCUUAUGAGCAUUGAGUGUGGUCAAGCUGUGUAGAUCCUUAGGAGCUUGUCAUGUGGUUAAAUCAAGAUUUCACUUGCACGUUCACUCAUAUAUGCUACUUCUACUCCGGAAGUACCAUCCACAUAUAUCAAUCCAUUUCCAUCUCCAGAAUCACCCAAAAAUAUUCUACUCCUAAUCCAGGAGAGAAUAGCCAAAAAUAUUUCUGUUUUCCCUUAUGAAAUAAAUGCUCAAGUUAUCUUGUUACUACCACUUGCUAUAUUAUCUCAUGAGAUGAGUGCUCUACAAAAAAAAGAAGGAAUACAAGGAAAUAAAAAGGAGCAAGUGCUCGGAACCUCAAAAGAAAAGAAAAAAGUGAGACGAGAGGUAAAAAUAGACAAGUGUCCGACAGUAGAAUUAGAGGUACAAGAUACCCACCUGAGAGAAAAGAAAAAGAAGAGCAUCUCAUUCUCCUCAUAAAGUUUCAAAAAGCAAGGAAGGUAUGUAUCCCCUCAAAGAGCAAAGUAGAAUUAGACUUCCACCACCAUUGUUUCCACCAUUGUUAUCACCAUCAUCACCAUACACCGUUCAUUCGCCACACAUGCACAUCUUGAUUUGGCUUAUUGAUUUGUUUCUUUAGAUCCAUAGUUUGACUAUACAAUAAAUGUCUUAUAAGUAUAUAUAUUUUAUUUCCUACCUAUGAGCUCCAGAUAUUAAAGCCUUAUUAGAGUAGGGUGAGAGAGAAGGCAAUGUCACUAUGCCUUAUACCACAAAUACUACAUAUCUUGAGAGAAGGCAUAUACCAUCACUACCUUGGUAAGGAUCCAGAAAUACCAUAAAAGAGAGAUCUAAGAGAAUCAUACAAAGAAUUUCUGAGUUUUAUUUGAAAAUCUAAAAAAAACACCAGAGCUAUAGCUGAUCAAGAAUAAGAGACAUGGCACUUGACUAGACUGUUCUAUCUUUUAACCACUCAAGACAGAAGUGACGGUUACAAGUCCCAUGGUGAAGGUAAAGUAAGUAAGUUUUAAGUCUUGACAGUUUACUCUAACUCAGAGAUGAGAUGUUAUUUAAAAAGCUUGUGUACCGUCAAAUUUUUAAAAAUAUUGCAACAACUUAUGAUCCAUAGUUGAGUUUAUCCUUGCUCAGGGACGAGCAAGAGGUAAGCUUGGGGGAGUUUGUUGACGGUCCUUAAGUAUCAAAUUUAAUUAUCAAAUAAAUAAAGAAAAUGAUCUAAAUGAAAUCAACAUCUAGACUUAGGGUUUUAUCUAACAGAAUUCCACGAGUUUUGGUGUUUGUCUAUUUCUGCAGGGGGUUAUCAGGAAAUACGGAAGAAAGGCCCACACGUCAGAAUUACAUAGAGAUAUUAACGUGCCGCGCAAUUAUCUUACAUCUAGAAGACUCCAGAAGCCACGAGACCGAAGCGGAGGCGAAACGGGGCCAGAGGCAGGGCGCCCGCCCUGUUCCCCUGGGCGCCCGCCCACCUCUGGAGUCCAAUCAGGACUCUGCUUCGUGGGAGAUCUCCACCGACCUAAAGGAUGAAUCUAAACCAUACAAUCUAUGUCGGUUUGAUCCAACGACCCAUAUUCACUUGAAGGGACUAUAAAACCAGACCCCCUGGCCCCUAGAGGAGAGAGCCUCUCAACCCUAAUUCAUUGUUCCUCAAGGGAGAAGAAGCCUCUGAUCAAGAUUAGAGCCACCACAUCAAUUAGAUAUCUAGAUUAGCAUAGCUACAUAGGAUUAGAACUAGAAGGAGUCAAUCUUCGAUUGGUUUCCGGAUCUGUCAAGAGGAUUCUUGGUAAUUCUCUAAUUGUGCUUCUAAUUGCUUUCUAAUUAUCUUUGUUCUUCAAUAUUAUGAAUAUGACUUUGUUCUACUUCAAUAUAUUACUUAUGACUUUGCUCUAUUUGCUUAUAUUCAAGAUUAUAUUGUUCUUAGUUUAUCAUAGUUAUGUACUUGGCUUAGUUAGAUUGGAUCUAUAUACAUGCUUAGGAUCGUAUAGCGUUUAUCCAUCGGAUCCAUGGGUAAAUGAUAGAUAUUGUGUAGGCGUGGUGCUUAUACCGUAUUUAUCUACGAUUGUACCCAAUAUGUCAGAUCGUGGGGUGGUUCGUGAUAGUGACAGCUUCAUUGAUUCUUAUAUAGUCCCCCUCUCGUGUAUUGGGCUGGCAGAGCAACAUUAUUACAGGGGAGUGAUUGCUAUGUUUCUCAUAUUCCUUGCUAAUAUCACUAUGCAUGGGUGUAGUCUUGUCUCACAAUGAUUGCUAAGUAUGCUUGCACUAACUAUGAUAAUGCUAGACUAUAUAGUUGAGAAUAACUUAGGGAAUAUUCUUGUAGUUCGUUCUAAUACCAUGCUAAUGAAUUUCUAGAGUAUCUAAUUGAGGUGCUUAUCAUAUUUAUUAUGUGGCUAGAUCAGAUUAAUUAUCUUUGUCACUAUUAUUACUUCAUAUAUCUUUUAUGUGACACUUAUCCCUGUAUGAAGAGUUAGAUAUAAUGUUCUCAAUUAUACAUGCAAUGAUAGAUGCUCAAUCUCAUAUUCUAUUCUGUAAUCAAUAGUGAUGAUUGCUGAUCCCUUCCCAGUGGUAAAAAUAUAAAUAACGGUACCUGGAAUACUUCCCGGUUAAAAUGCUACAUCGGUAUUAAUCUGUGCGCUUGCAGAUCCCAUUCAUUAGUUAUUUAGAAGAGCAAUUGCAUAUUUCAAUACCGCGUCUCUUAUAUCAUGCUGGGGAUGACAACUUGGCUUAAGUGGUGUGAGGGAUAGGUUUGGCAUUUUUGGCACCGUUACUAGAUUUAGAGAACUUAGUCUACUUUUGGUAAUGAUGUUAAGAAUACCCAACAUUCUUUUCUUUGUUUCUUGUCGGGACUGCUCUGGAAUUUGUGUAGCCUUGUUCUUGAAGGAAAACAUCUCCUUCCUCCCUUUGAUGUAGAAACUGAUCUUGGCAGCACUAGCGUAGAUGACAGCUCCCGAGGUGUUUAAGAAUGGCCUCCCUAAGAUGAUAGGUGCCCUCUCAUCAUUACCGGUCUCUAUCACCACGAAGUCUGCUGGGGCGUACAAGGUACCAACUCGGACGUAGAGGUUCUUCAAUAUUCCCUUUGGGAAACUUAACGCCUGAUCUGCAAACUGCAAACACAUGGUUGUUUCUAAUAAAGGAUAUGUAAAGAAUUUUUCAUAGAGUACCCUGGGCAUAAUGUUGACACUAGAGCCAAAGACGCAGAGUGCUUCUGGGAAGUCCACCAUGCCGAUGGAGAUCGGGAUGACGGGGCGUCCUGGAUCGCCUCUCUUGACCGGCAAAAGGUCAGUAGUAACUUCAGUGACGGGGUUACUCCAGUACACUAGUACAGGGAAGGGCUUUAGCCCCGGGCCGUAAGCGCCUUUAGUCCCGGCUACGGAACCGGGGCUAAGGUUUCGGGACUAAAUGUCCCACCUUUAGUCCCAGUUCCGUGGACCGGGACUAAAGGUCCACCUUUAGUCCCGGUCAGUAACAGCAACCGGGACUAAAAGGUGCGCCAGGGUGUGCCACCUGGCCUCCACUUUUAGUCCCGGUUGUUGCUACCAACCGGGACUAAAGACUUUUUUCUUUUUUCUUUUUUCUUUUUUCUUUUUCUUUUCAUUUGGUUUUCCAUUUAGGGUUUACAAUUAUGUUAUUGUUAUUUUCGAAUGCGUAUUGUUUGCUGGUAGUUUAUGGAACACGCACCUAUAAUUUAUAUAAUUUAAAGGAUUACAUAUAAAUAUACUAUAAAACACUAUAUAUAUAUAAAUAAUAUGUAUCUAUAGGUCCAUAAUAAAAUAUUUACACAUAUGCUUCAUGGACAAAGUAUUUACAACACAAUUUAUCUCCACCACUCAAGCAUCGUACAAAUGAUCAUCGUUAUUUGGUUUCAUCUGCUCCUGAGGGUUGAAGUAGCACUCGCCGCCGGAAUCCAGGACUUGGUCGUUAAGAAAUCCUGCGAUUGUCUCCUGAAUUCUUUUUAGGCGCACCGCAUCCAACACCUGCUCCUUCAGCCACAUCUCCUUUAAUAGACAUUAAAGAAAAAAGUUAGAGGUAUGAAUAGGAUUUAUUAAAUAGCAACAAAUAAAUGAAAUAUACUUAUUAUAUAUACAUGUUACAUACUUUUAGGUGCUCAAGAUUAGUUCUUUUGGCAUACACCGUCAUAAACUCGCACACAUAGUAGCCACACAAAUUGUUGCCCGGUGUCUGCCGUAGAACCCACUGAAGUAAGAUGGGCUUUGAAAGUGAUGCAUUCAACUCUGGACGGUGUUUCUGCACGAACCCAGCCCAAACUAUAGCAAUAAAACGAUCAUUAUUAAUUAUCCAUUACCAAGUUAAAAGAGCAGAAUUUAAUAUAUAGAGAUCGGAGUUACCCUUGGAUAAUAUCUAUCAUUUCUUGGUAAUCAUCCUGUGGUUUUCUCAAUGAGUCAUAGAUUACCAAUUGACAUUGCCAGAGAUCAAUGACAAUUAGUAUCCAAUGAAAGCUGCAUUUGUGUGCAUAUGUAGGCAAAAUUAGUAUAUAUCUUCAUAUUGAUCUGAUUAAUUAGUUAAAUAGAAUGUACACACGAUAACGACACUUACUUAAAGUUGUAGGGAAAGAGUAUAUAUCUUUUAUCUUUUUGGUUGAUCAAGAACCUCCGUAGAUUUCUCUCCGUUUGAGUU
rnacentral:lncRNA from 1 species